GACGAACGCUGGCGGCGUGCUUAACACAUGCAAGCCGAACGGAAAGGCCCUGCUUUUGUGGGGUGCUCGAGUGGCGAACGGGUGAGUAACACGUGAGUAACCUGCCCUUGACUUUGGGAUAACUUCAGGAAACUGGGGCUAAUACCGGAUAGGAGCUCCUGCUGCAUGGUGGGGGUUGGAAAGUUUCGGCGGUUGGGGAUGGACUCGCGGCUUAUCAGCUUGUUGGUGGGGUAGUGGCUUACCAAGGCUUUGACGGGUAGCCGGCCUGAGAGGGUGACCGGCCACAUUGGGACUGAGAUACGGCCCAGACUCCUACGGGAGGCAGCAGUGGGGAAUAUUGCACAAUGGGCGGAAGCCUGAUGCAGCAACGCCGCGUGCGGGAUGACGGCCUUCGGGUUGUAAACCGCUUUCGCCUGUGACGAAGCGUGAGUGACGGUAAUGGAAAG
rnacentral:rRNA from 1 species